rnacentral:rRNA from 1 species
GACGAACGCUGGCGGCGUGCCUAAUACAUGCAAGUAGGACGCUGAAGAGGGGAGCUUGCUCUUCUUGGAUGAGUUGCGAACGGGUGAGUAACGCGUAGGUAACCUGCCUUGUAGCGGGGGAUAACUAUUGGAAACGAUAGCUAAUACCGCAUAACAAUGGAUGACACAUGUCAUUUAUUUGAAAGGGGCAAUUGCUCCACUACAAGAUGGACCUGCGUUGUAUUAGCUAGUAGGUGAGGUAACGGCUCACCUAGGCGACGAUACAUAGCCGACCUGAGAGGGUGAUCGGCCACACUGGGACUGAGACACGGCCCAGACUCCUACGGGAGGCAGCAGUAGGGAAUCUUCGGCAAUGGGGGCAACCCUGACCGAGCAACGCCGCGUGAGUGAAGAAGGUUUUCGGAUCGUAAAGCUCUGUUGUAAGUCAAGAACGAGUGUGAGAGUGGAAAGUUCACACUGUGACGGUAGCUUACCAGAAAGGGACGGCUAACUACGUGCCAGCAGCCGCGGUAAUACGUAGGUCCCGAGCGUUGUCCGGAUUUAUUGGGCGUAAAGCGAGCGCAGGCGGUUUGAUAAGUCUGAAGUUAAAGGCUGUGGCUCAACCAUAGUUCGCUUUGGAAACUGUCAAACUUGAGUGCAGAAGGGGAGAGUGGAAUUCCAUGUGUAGCGGUGAAAUGCGUAGAUAUAUGGAGGAACACCGGUGGCGAAAGCGGCUCUCUGGUCUGUAACUGACGCUGAGGCUCGAAAGCGUGGGGAGCGAACAGG